rnacentral:rRNA from 1 species
GACGUAGGUGGCGAACGUUAUCCGGAAUUAUUGGGCGUAAAGGGUGCGUAGGUGGCCUGACAAGUUAUCAGUGGCAAAUCGAGGCUCAACCUCGUGGAAACUGGUAAUACUGUUCGGCUUGAGUACAGGAGAGGUUAACGGAACUCUAUGUGGAGCGGUAAAAUGCACAGAUAUAUGGAAGAACAUCAAUAAAGGCGAAGGCAGUUAACUAUGCUGUUACUGACGCUGAGGCACGAAAGCGUGGGGAGCAAAACGG